rnacentral:rRNA from 1 species
GACGAACGCUGGCGGCGUGCCUAAUACAUGCAAGUCGAACGAACAGGCGAGGCUUUUGUUCCUCGGACGUUUGGCGAACGCGUGAGUAUCACAUGUGUAACCCGUCCCUAUCAGAGGGAUAACUCUUGGAAACAGCGGCUCAUAUCGCAUAUGAUCUAUUGCUCCAUGUGGUUCGAUGGAAAGUUUCGGUUGUGCUGGAACUUAUAGCUGGUUCCUGGCCGCAUUGGGUAGUUGGUGAGGUCACGGCUUACGACGGCAACGAUGCGUAGCCGACGGGAGGGGGUGGUCGGCCACAUGGGAAGUGGGCCAGGGUCAAGACUCCUACGGGAGGCAGCAGUAGGGAAUGUUACGCAACGGGGGAAAGCCUGGCGGAGCAAGGCGGCGUGAGUGAUGAAGGUGUUGGGAGCGUAAAACCCUGUUUCGAGGGAAAAACAAAUGUGGAAGGAAAUGUGCACGUCGUGACGGUACCUAAUCAGAAAGCCACGGCUAACUACGUG